rnacentral:rRNA from 1 species
GUAGGUGGCAAGCGUUGUCCGGGAAUUAUUGGGGCGUAAAGCGCGCGCAGGCGGUUCUUUAAGUCUGAUGUGAAAGCCCACGGGCUCAACCGUGGAGGGUCAUUGGAAGCUGGAGAACUUGAGUACAGAAGAGGAAAGCGGAAUUCCACGUGUAGCGGUGAAAUGCGUAGAGAUGUGGAGGAACACCAGUGGCGAAGGCGGCUUUCUGGUCUGUAACUGACGCUGAGGCGCGAAAGCGUGGGGAGCAAACAGGAUUAGAUACCCUGGUAGUCCACGCCGUAAACGAUGAGUGCUAAGUGUUAGGGGGUUUCCGCCCCUUAGUGCUGCAGCUAACGCAUUAAGCACUCCGCCUGGGGAGUACGGCCGCAAAGGCUG